rnacentral:rRNA from 1 species
CUACGGGAGGCAGCAGUGGGGAAUAUUGGACAAUGGGGGAAACCCUGAUCCAGCAAUGCCGCGUGUGUGAAGAAGGCCUGCGGGUUGUAAAGCACUUUCAGUUGGGAGGACUGCUUCUAGCACUAAUAUUGUUGGAAGUUGACGUUACCUUCAGAAGAAGCACCGGCUAACUCCGUGCCAGCAGCCGCGGUAAUACGGAGGGUGCAUGCGUUAAUCGGAAUUACUGGGCGUAAAGCGCGCGUAGGCGGCUAGAUCAGUCGGGUGUGAAAGCCCCGGGCUUAACCUGGGAACUGCAUCCGAUACUGUCUAGCUUGAGUACAGGAGAGGAGAGUGGAAUUCCACAUGUAGCGGUGAAAUGCGUAGAUAUGUGGAGGAACACCAAUGGCGAAGGCAGCUCUCUGGCCUGAUACUGACGCUGAGGUGCGAAAGCGUGGGGAGCAAACAGGAUUAGAUACCCCGGUAGUC